UGCUACCUACGGGGCGCAGCAGUGGGGAAUAUUGCACAAUGGGGGAAACCCUGAUGCAGCAACGCCGCGUGAGUGAAGAAGUAUUUCGGUAUGUAAAGCUCUAUCAGCAGGGAAGAAGAUGACGGUACCUGAUUAAGAAGCCCCGGCUAACUACGUGCCAGCAGCCGCGGUAAUACGUAGGGGGCAAGCGUUAUCCGGAUUUAUUGGGUUUAAAGGGUGCGUAGGCGGACUGUUAAGUCAGCGGUAAAAGCCCGGGGCUCAACCCCGGCGAGCCGUUGAAACUGGCUGUCUUGAGAUGUCGAGAG
rnacentral:rRNA from 1 species